rnacentral:rRNA from 1 species
GAUGAACGCUAGCGGCAGGCCUAACACAUGCAAGUCGAGGGAGAAGCCCUUUCGGGGGCAGAAACCGGCGCACGGGUGCGUAACGCGUACGCAACCUACCUUUCACAGGGGGAUAGCCCGAAGAAAUUUGGAUUAAUACCCCAUAAUAUUAUUGGAUGGCAUCAUUUGAUAAUUAAAACUGCGGUGGUGAAAGAUGGGCAUGCGUCCUAUUAGCUAGUUGGAGUGGUAACGGCACCCCAAGGCUACGAUAGGUAGGGGUCCUGAGAGGGAGAUCCCCCACACUGGUACUGAGACAGGGACCAGACUCCUACGGGAGGCAGCAGUGAGGAAGAUUGGUCAAUGGUCGGAAGACUGAACCAGCCAUGCCGCGUGCAGGAAGAAUGCCUUAUGGGUUGUAAACUGCUUUUAUAUGGGAAGAAUAAGGCGUACGUGUACGUUGAUGACGGUACCAUAUGAAUAAGCAUCGGCUAACUCCGUG